rnacentral:rRNA from 1 species
CAGUCGCCGCGGGAAUACGAAGGGUGCAAGCGUUACUCGGAAUUACUGGGCGUAAAGCGUGCGUAGGUGGAGGUUUAAGUCCGUUGUGAAAGCCCUGGGCUCAACCUGGGAAUUGCAGUGGAUACUAGAUCACUAGAGUGUGGUAGAGGAUAGUGGAAUUUCCGGUGUAGCAGUGAAAUGCGUAGAGAUCGGAAGGAACAUCUGUGGCGAAGGCGACUAUCUGGGCCAAUACUGACGCUCAUGCACGAAAGCGUGGGGAGCAAACAGGAUUAGAUACCCCCGUAGUCCCUGUCUCUUAUAC